UACAGAGGGUGCAAGCGUUAUCCGGAUUUAUUGGGCGUAAAGCGUUUCGUAGGCUGAUUUGUAAGUUAUCUUUCAAAGACCACGGCUCAACCGAGGGAAGGGAGAUAAUACUGUGAGUCUUGAUUUGUGGUGGGGCUUCUGGAACUGAUGGUGUAGUAGUGAAAUACGUUGAUAUCAUCAGGAACUCCAAGGGCGAAGGCAGGAAGCUAACCAUUUAAUGACGCUGAGGAACGACAGCUAGGGGAGCGAA
rnacentral:rRNA from 1 species